rfam:Dipodomys ordii contig_56867, whole genome shotgun sequence.
GUGAAGUUGGCUCAGUGGUGGUAGAGUGCUUGCCUUGCAUGCAUGAGGCCCUGGGUUCGAUUCCUUAGCACCACA